GGCUGUGCAGGAUUUUCCAGGCAAAGAGGACAUUGGGAAGAAGAAGGAUGAAGUCUGAGGAGUCUUGAGCCAGACGAAGAGGAAGCACGAUGUGUAGAAAAUGAGGGACUAAUUCAGGGCCAGCAGAGGCGUUCUCCAGUAAGAAGACAGAGUGCUUAGUCUCAGUGGGAAGAUAGAACCGGACAAGCUAUUAAGACACAAAGAUGAUGCUGGUGAGGAGCGCAGUCAGCCAUGUCUGAAGACUCAUGGAGACAAAACCAAGUUUGGAAGUGCAAAGUACCGUAAAUGUUGUCAGUCUUCUGUGAUAGAUACUUUUAUUGUGGCACCAAUUAGAAGCCAAACUCCCAAGGAACAAGAACCACCCCUGCUUCUCUAGAGCCUCAACAUGGCAUCCAAGUGACUCCCUUUUCCUUUGAGAGCUAAGCCUAGGGAUGGCAUGAUACUUGGCUUCCACGUGGGUUGGGAACAAUUUCCAAUCCCAUCACCGUAUAGUCCAUGAUUGAUGUGAAAGUGGAAACCUAACCCAAAGCUCUGAAGACUUCGAUAGCCUUCUUCCACUCCUUAAGGUUUCUCAGGGAGAGCUCAGUCCCCAGGGAUGGUGCUUGGAGCUAAGAAAUGUCUCCACAAUCUUUUACAAUUAGAAUUUUUUUUCUGUGUUUCCAGAGAGGUGCUUUAACCAGCUAAGCUGCGGAGCCUGAUGCAAUGCUCAUCAUUUCAUUGUAUAGACAUGUUCAUCAGGUCAUUGCAUAGAAGAAAAAAGAAAUAAAACAUGUAGAGAGAUAUAAUUAAGCAAAAGACUAAAGAUUAAAACUUAUAACUUUCAUGCACUAAUCUAGUUUAAAUUUCCUAAGUAGGAAAAUUCAUUUUGUUAGACUGUAUUUUCCAGUGGUCUGUGCUUUUAGAUCAGUAUGAAUACCUCUUUCUCACUGUCCUCUAUCUCAAGAAUGAAGGAUUAUUUGGAAAGCCCUCACCCCGCCAGGGCUCUUUAUCAACCAACCAAUGAGAAUCAGGCCACAAGGAAGAUAGUCAACCACAGCCAAUCUUCUGUCUGCUCUUUCCUGAAUACGGCUCCAAGGACUCCAAGUCUGUUACAAAUACACAGGGUGUUUUGUAGUUGCUAGGGGGCUUAAAUUUUAUGCUCGCUUUUUAUAAAGGUAGAGGACAAAGGUCUGAUCUACUCUCCGUUCAUCAUCAAAUACUCUGGUUAUUUGUGGUAUAAGAACUCAUAUUCACUAUAGAAAGUUCAUUGGAGUGUCUAUAUGGAGUUCCAAAAAUACCACUAACAAUCCAUCUGUUUUCACUACACAUCUAUGAGAAUAGUUUUUAAAAAGUACUGACAGUACCAGAGUUGGUAAGGAUGCAGAAAAAUGUAUUCCUCAUAAAUUAUUGUUCAGAAUGUAAAACAGGACAGCCAUUUCAGAAGUUUGGUAGUGUCCAAGAAAAAUCAAACAUGCAUUUAAAAACCAUGACCCAGCAAUCACACUUCUGGAUUUUUAUGCCAUAUAUAAAAAUUUAUGUUCAACCAAAAGCUUGUAGAUAAUGUUCAUAAUGGUUUUAUCAGAGUCCCAAACUGAAAUAGCUUAUUCCCAAAUGCUCUUCAUGAGAGAAGGAUGAACACACCUUUAUAAUCCAUACCAUAAAAUAUUAUUCAACUGUAAAGGAGAACAAGCUGCUGAUAUACAUGAAUGGAUCUCAAGUUGUUGAAAUAAAAGAGCAAAUCCAAACCAAAA